CUCCUGAAAGAGAAGGUGGUGAACAAUAAAGAGCUCACCACCGACACCUCGCGCAGUAGCAACCCGCAGCAGCCUAGUGACAGCAUCUGUAGGUGCACGACUCAACCCUACGAGGCACUGCAGCAGGAGGUGCAGGAACUGCGCUCCCUCAACAAGGAGCUGCAGAAAAGUUUGCUUACAAAGAUUUUUUCAACUGAAAGCAAGAUUAUAAUCGCAAAUACAAUGGACGUACAGGUCAGCACAAGGCCGUCGCUGCCUGAGAAAGGCAAGUCAUUCUUCUUUUGAAGUCGGUAUCUUAGCAAACACCACUAGACAGAACUACAGCUGAACCCCUUUACAAGAGACACUCACCAGGGAGCAAUUCUUGUCCUUUAUAUGAGGUGUCUCUUAUGAGAACAGUACUGUGUUCUCAUUUUCAGUUCAACCCCUGUUUCUGUGUAGGCACACUGGUGUCUUUUAUAACCCAAGUGUCUCUUACAUCAUGGUCUGUUAUAAAGGAGUUCAACUGUAGUUGUAAUAAGAAAACAUCAAUGCACACCUAUAUUGCUUUAAUAUUACCAUGCUUUGACUUUACUUUCUUGCGCAGCUGGUAAAUCAGUGGAGCAUAGCUUCUCAAAGUGGGUUCCAUCAUUUAGGCUUAGCCUUUUGAUCAAUGUAAUGGCAACCGCAUGCCUUAAUUUUGUUUUUGGAAAAAUAGAACAGGCUUUUGUACCUUGGGCACUGCAUUUACUUGAGAACACGGCUUAUGGC
rnacentral:lncRNA from 1 species